UACGUAGGUGGCAAGCGUUGUCCGGAUUUACUGGGCGUAAAGGGCGUGCAGGCGGUCUGUUAAGUGCAGGGUGAAAGCUCCCGGCUCAACUGGGAGAGGUCCUUGCAUACUGGCGGACUUGAGGGGGGUAGAGGAAAGUGGAAUUCCCGGUGUAGUGGUGAUAUGCGUAGAUAUCUGGAGGAACACCGGUGGCGAAGGCGGCAUCCUGGACCGACACUGACGCUGAGGAGCGAAAGCCAGGGGAGCAAACGGG
rnacentral:rRNA from 1 species